AUUGAACGCUGGCGGCAGGCCUAACACAUGCAAGUCGAGCGAGCGGCGGACGGGGGAGAAAUGUCUGUGAAACUGCCUGAUGGAGGGGGAUAACUACUGGAAACGGUAGCUAAUACCGCAUACCAUCAGAUGUGCCCAGAUGGGAUUAGCUAGUAGGUGGGGUAACGGCGCACCUAGGCGACGAUCUGUAGCGGGUCUGAGAGGAUGACCAGCCAGCAUGUAACUGAGACACGGUCCAGACGCCUACGGGAGGCAGCAGUGGGGAAUAUUGCACAAUGGGCGCAAGCAUGAUGCAGCCAUGCCGCGUGUGUGAAGAAGGCCUUCGGGUUGUAAAGUACUUUCAGCGGGGAGGCGUUACCCGCAGAAGAAGCACCGGCUAACUCCGUGCCAGCAGCCGCGGUAAUUC
rnacentral:rRNA from 1 species